UAUUCUGUAGCAUUUCAAAACUUUUGAUAGUUCUAUUUCAAUAAUCAUUAAGUGUUUUCACUAAUCUAAACAACAAUUAAAUUUCUAUUUCAAUCUCAGUCAACCUCAGUGAAUACUCAAUGGGCGAAACAGGUACUGGCAACAUAUGCCCUGACGUAUUGAUUCAAAUAUUCAUUUCCUUACCACAUUGCGAGUGUGUCUCAUGUGCUGUGUUGCAAGCCACACUUGCCGCUGUCUAAGCAUCCUGUGCCAUAUGUCGCCGGGCUGAACACGAGGCAGGCAAAAGCAGAGGCAAGAUUCCCGUAGAGUGCGUAGUUUGCAUAUAUGCGGGCGGACGCAGGACAAACGCAUCAUAAAACAACAAGGACAGAACACCAAAAAUAUUUACAAAAAAAUUACGCUUAAAUGCAAUUUUUGGCAUAUUUCUUUUUCAACUCAUAUGCAUGCGGCGCCUGUGAUUUACGAUGAUGCAAAAGGAACUCGAAGCAGCAGGACGAAAUGCAGCCAGGCAGUUGCUUAAUGCUCCUUGAAGUGCAUCAUGCAUCUGGCGUCGCGGUGGGCAAUUUAAAGUCAAUCCCAUAAAACCACCAAAGUGCAAUUCAUACAUCGUUAAAUAGCCCCCCAGCGCAACACUCGCAGCUUGCCUAGCAACGAAGCCCGUAGGUAUUGCUGGCGGGCAUUGAAAUUGGAACUCGAGCCGAAAUUGUGACCCGCCAAUGUGAUGGGAGUUUUAUGUUCUAUUUAUGUUGUGCAAACGAUGCCCCAUAAUCGUAAAAAUAUCAAAACAAAUCGUUAAAAUCGAUCGUCGUGACGUUGUCGUCAUUUGGCGCUGCUUCCUCGCUUCGAACGCACAUUCAGAGUCAGAUUCAAUGAAUGCUUUCGAGUCGGAGCCCAAGAAUGUGAACGGCUUCAUUUGCAGAGUUUGGAGUAGCGUUUGGGGCGCCCACGGCUGUCGAUAUCCACAUAGAUGUUUCGAUUCG